rnacentral:rRNA from 1 species
GACGAACGCUGGCGGCGUGCUUAACACAUGCAAGUCGAACGGAAAGGCCCUGCUUUUGUGGGGUGCUCGAGUGGCGAACGGGUGAGUAACACGUGAGUAACCUGCCCUUGACUUUGGGAUAACUUCAGGAAACUGGGGCUAAUACCGGAUAGGAGCUCCUGCUGCAUGGUGGGGGUUGGAAAGUUUCGGCGGUUGGGGAUGGACUCGCGGCUUAUCAGCUUGUUGGUGGGGUAGUGGCUUACCAAGGCUUUGACGGGUAGCCGGCCUGAGAGGGUGACCGGGGACAUUGGGACUGCGAUACGGCCCAGACGCGAACGGGAGGCAGCAGGCGGGAACAUUGCAGAAUGGGCGGAAGCCUGAGGCAGCAACGCCGGGUGCGGGAUGACGGCCUUCGGGUGGUAAACCGCUGUCGCCUGUGACGAAGCGUGAGUGACGGUAAUGGGUAAAGAAGCACCGGCUAACUACGUG